UUAAUAACCUGCUGCAGAGACUUCCUGUCCUGUGCACAUAACAUGCCAGUUUGUGAUGUUUCCAGUUUAGAUGCUUUCCAUUGCUCCUCUGUUACAGUUAACAAGAACUUGGCACAGGAAUGCAGGAGAGAGGCCCCUCCUGGCAUAUCAUCCCACAACACCAUGGUCUUUUUAAUUUCAUGGUUGAAGUGUGUCACGGUCCUGGUCUGGGCUCCAGGUCCUCCCAGGUUCCACUCCACUCCUCCUCCUGACCGCUGCAGCCUGCACACCUGAGUUCCAUCACCUUGUCAGCCCAGCAGUAUUUCAUCCCUGGUUUCACAGUCACUCUUUGCCAGAUUAUACAGUCUACCUGAGUGGAUUAUUCAUCUCUUUUCUGCCUGCCUUAUCUCCGGUUCCAUCCUGCCCUUCCCUGACGGAUCACACUGAGUCACUCACCCCCUGUCUGCCCCUUUGCCACCUCUUCAGCCCAGCAGCCUCUAGUCCUGAACCUCUGCUCCACCAUUCCUCACCUG